rnacentral:rRNA from 1 species
GACGAACGCUGGCGGCGUGCUUAACACAUGCAAGUCGAACGGAAAGGCCCUGCUUUUGUGGGGUGCUCGAGUGGCGAACGGGUGAGUAACACGUGAGUAACCUGCCCUUGACUUUGGGAUAACUUCAGGAAACUGGGGCUAAUACCGGAUAGGAGCUCCUGCUGCAUGGUGGGGGUUGGAAAGUUUCGGCGGUGGGGGAUGGACUCGCGGCUUAUCAGCUUGUUGGUGGGGUAGUGGCUUACCAAGGCUUUGACGGGUAGCCGGCCUGAGAGGGUGACCGGCCACAUUGGGACUGAGAUACGGCCCAGACUCCUACGGGAGGCAGCAGUGGGGAAUAUUGCACAAUGGGCGGAAGCCUGAUGCAGCAACGCCGCGUGCGGGAUGCCGGCCUUCGGGUUGUAAACCGCUUUCGCCUGUGACGAAGCGUGAGUGACGGUAAUGGGUAAAGAAGCACCGGCUAACUACGUG